UUCCUGGUGGUCCAGUGGUUAGGACUCCGCACUUCCACUGCAGGGGCCCAGGUUUGAUCCCUGGUCAAGGAA
rfam:Ovis aries breed Texel chromosome 17, whole genome shotgun sequence.